rnacentral:rRNA from 1 species
GUCUAUAGCCAUACCAACCUGAAUGUGCCUGAUCUCAUCUGAUCUUGGAAGCUAAGAAGGGCUGGGCCUUGGAUUGGAGACAGUUCUUCAGAAGAGACUGCUCAGAGACAAGCAGUUUGUAGACA